rnacentral:piRNA from 1 species
UUUCUGUGUGGAAUUUGAAUAUCUGAAA